CUAACACUGCAUUGGAAAGCAACUAUAGGCCAAUACAAUUAAUUUAAAAAGAAAAGAAAUAAAACCGCAAGAGGCAUCCUGAUCAUCUCGUCAUCCCCAUGAUGAUACUCACUGCCCUGAGAAUGAAGACCCAGGCCUACUGUCCAGCCACCUUGCCCGGCCCCUCACGCGGUCUUGUGCUCUGGCUGCGGUCAUCCCUGAAGCGAGUCCCUCGGCCAGGGCAGGUCCCCGUGUGCCCGUUCUCUCCCGUCCGCCAGGCUGGCUGGGCAUCAGUCACGUGUGGCUCCUCCCAGGACAGGCAUCUGCUCCUCAGGGUGCCCGCACCCCCGUGUUUGUCCCUGGCGGCACCCAGGGAACGCUGUGUUGACCGUGGCGCGUCAUGUGCCCACCGGUCACCUGGCUCCGUGCCUGUGUGGAUGCCCAGGGCAGACCUGCACACACCUGUGCUGGGCACACAGGAGCUCCCAAUGGGGGUAACUCCGGGUUACUGUAGGGCUCUAAAGAGAAGCUGCAAGUGAGAGAAAAGAUGCUUGGUCCACGCUCACGGACGUCACCUGUGAAGGGUUAAAAAGUCACCUGCGGGGAGAUGACCCCCGUGCGCCGUCCUCCCCGAGGCAGUCGAGCUGCCGGCGGAAACAGGCCGAUCCAGAGACUUCCGCGUGGGAGCCGCACACGCGUGGUGACGUCACGGGCCAGGCGUGACGCGAGGGGACGUCACGGGUGGGGGGCGGGGCUUGAGCGUGCGUGCGCGUCGCCGGGUGUCCCGGGCCUCACCUCCAGCCUCGUGAACGUCUGGGUUGUUCUCGGAGGCCGGUCUUCAGAGGACCUUCUCCUUAGAGGUCGCGGCACGAGACGUUCAUCAGCAUUUCCCGCACUUUGAAAAAAUGGCUUCCUUCCAGCCAGUGACGACGGCCCCGCAGGUGAGGUCCCCUCUAAUGUGAACAUAGAAGCGUCCUGUAAUCAUCAAAGCAGAGAAAAACACCUAAGAAAUCACCACGGGUACAGCUGUGUUAACCCAGCUGCGGACGUUGCUGGAUGUCACUGGCUUGGAUGUAGUGGGGACAAGAUGUGAGGCUCGUGCGCGGCUCAGAUUCUAGGAGCAGAAUGUGGUCCUCACGCUGGAAGGUGACUGCCCGUCCUCUGUGCCUCCAGCCCCGCGGCAGAGCUGCAGACCCCUUCUCCUGCUGCUGCGGUCUGCGAGCCAGAGGCGCUGGAGACGUGGGCCUCAUCUGCCCCCAGGAUGGUCGCACUGAGGUCGCCACAAAGGGGGUGGUCGGUGGAAACCUCGGAGAAGUCAAGAGAAGCAGCAAAGGAAUGAAAUCUUCUGUAGGAAUUUAAGUGUUUAUAGAAAUUUAGAGUUUUCCAUAAACAUGUAAACACAAGUACGUUGAUGCAGACUUACUGGGUACAGCAGCCCUGUUGCUUCUCCCGGGGCGGGUCACAGGGCUUUAUGGGCGAUAAAUCUCACAGCUGCGUGCCCCUCGGCCUCGCUUGCUCCACCACUGCACCGGAUAAACCAUGAGUCGGCCUGGAGUCGGGCCAGGCCGAGCAUCCCCUCCCUUGGUGUGGCCUCUCCUCUUCGAUCGUGCAGAAGGGUCAGGAGCCCCCCGCCCCCUCCGUGUGCUAGAAUUGAACCCUAUUUAAAGACUAUUUGAUAAAAAAUGAAAUCAACAGAACUUCUCCAGUGGUGUAGCAGAUAAGAAUCUGCCUGCCAGUGUUCAGUCCCUGGUCUGGGAGGAUCCCACAUGCCUCGGAGCAACUAAGCCUGCGCACCGCAACUGCUGAAGCCCCCGUGCCUAGAGCCUGUGCUCCGCAGCAAGAAAGGUCACCACAGCGAGGAGCCCGAGCGCUGAAACAGGGUGGCCCUGCCUGCGGCAGCCGGCACGCCCGAGUGCAGCAGUGAAGACGCAGCCCGGCCGCAAGUAAAUGCAGUGAGAAAAGAGCUGAGCAUCUUAAACAACGAAACAAACAAAGCCCCCGAGCCAGAGCACUGGGACACCGCCUCUGUUUCUUAGCACCCUGCGGCUUUAACACUGUUUCCUUUCUCGAGACCUAAGCAGCUGAGUGAAACUUCCGCAACAGCACGGCUGACCAUUACAGCCACACUGAGUGGUGGUUCUAUACUCCGAUAGUUUCCUUAAUAGUAAUUACAUUGAACGUGCCGUGUAAUUCGAAGUUUAUUUGCCAGGCAACUUUUGUAUUUCAUCGAAACGAUGUGACUUACACAGCAAAGGUAAUUAUCUUAUGAUUAUGAGGCUUUGACCCUGAACUGGGCCUUAAUAAUUACUUGCAGUUUCUGAUGUAAUUAAAUCAUGAGCCAGAUCUUGCCUGGCCGGCAGGCAACUAACAGCAGGCACAUAAGGACCGAACCGCAGGGGCAUGGCGAUAAAACCCUGCGCGCGGGCUCUGGCAGCCACGUGUGAGCAGAGCUACUCCCGGGACCCUUACUGGCCACUGAGCCAUGACUGGCAACCACUCUGCUGCGUGCUCGGAGUGUUUUGAAUCUGCCCACGUCUAUUUGGAGCUCAUGGAAGGUCAGCAGCACAUGAGGGAUGGGCCUUAGCCAUGGACCUGACAUCCAGACAGCACCACCAUGUCUCCCCAUGGAUUGCUCAGGACUGGGGACAUGGCCCCGCUUUGGACAGUGACACUUAGAAUUUGCUGGGGGCUGCGGGGCAAGCUCUUUCUCUCCUAAGACUCAAGGAAAAUCUCGCCUCCUGUGGUGGCGUCUUCCAGAGGGGGAAGUACGGAGCCCAGGUCACUGCGGGGACCCCCUGACCUGAAGCUGAGCCUGGGGCGCCGCCUCGUGGGAGGGAGGCCGUCGGGCUCCUGAUGCUGUCACUGGGCCCUCGGAUGGACCUUCAGAGCCCAGCUGACUGUGGCAGGCUGAGUUUCCUGUUCCGUGGAGGUGAAGGCGCAGCCGCUGAUGUUGGUGAUGUGUGGCCGUUUCUCCGGCAGCUUCCCGUGGUAGAAACGUCCCGUCUGUUCUCCAGCCUCCUGUUGCCUGCUGAGUGAUUUCUGGCCGGUCCCAGCUUCCCCUGAACUGUGAGUGGAAAGAGACCCACACUACUGACAACCGUCAAAUCAAGUGACCCGGAGGGACACUUGCAGAGAGGCGGUUCCGCUUGAACAUCUGGAAGCUCACGGUUCACGUACUGCUGAAGUGGUGCGCGGUGCAGGAGUGGCUGAGAGGAGGACCCCACGUCCCAGGUCAGGAGCGGCAGCCGAGAGGAACCCACUGGUCAUAACAAACACCCUCUUCCAACAACACAAGAGAAGACUCUACACGUGGACAUCACCAGAUGGUCAACACCGAAAUCAGAUUGAUUAUAUUCUUUGCAACCAAAGAUGGAGAUUAUGUCACAGUAUGACUUUAUAAGACAUCCGGGUUGUGAAACGGUCAGAGGAAACGCAAGCUCACCUGUGUGUGCUGUGCUCGGUGACAGCAGACGGCAGCAUUCGGUAGUCAGGCGCCUGUGAUUUUAACCGAGUGGAACUGUUUCGUGCAGAGUUCAGUUACUUCUGUCAUUUCUCACGUCCGUAUCCUUCUGGAGUCCUCUCUGGGUCCUCCUACGACAAUAUUAUUAAAAACACGAUGUGUAUAAUUUCAUAACACUCUCCAUGCUACUUAAUAAUAAUUAGCACAUAUUUUGGCAUAUGUGCUUUUCUGUUCAUUGUUUUAUAUCAAUUUAUAUUAUAUUUCCCUGUAUCUUGAUUUUUAAAAAUACUUAUAUAUUUCAUAUAAUAAAUGCAUGAUAGAUAAUCAAAUAAUAAACCCAGUAAUCCCUCCAGGU